UACUAUCGAAACGAGCUCUCUCUUCAACAAUCUUGACCCGUAAAUCAGCAUCUCUAACCGUCCCUACUUGUGCAUGCAUACCAAACCGAUCAAGAAGCUGUGGCCUAAGCUCUCCUUCUUCCGGAUUUCCUGAACCGAUCAAGAUAAACCUCGCCGGGUGAG
rnacentral:sRNA from 1 species